UACAGAGGGGGCAAGCGUUGUUCGGAAUUACUGGGCGUAAAGGGCGCGCAGGCGGCCUGUUAAGUCGAACGUGAAAUCCCCGGGCUCAACCCCGGAACGGCAUCCGAUACUGGCGGGCUUGAGACCGGGAGAGGAGGGUGGAAUACCCAGUGUAGAGGUGAAAUUCGUAGAUAUUGGGUGGAACACCGGUGGCGAAAGCGGCUCUCUGGCCCGGAUCUGACGCUGAGGCGCGAAAGCGUGGGGAGCAAACAGG
rnacentral:rRNA from 1 species